rnacentral:rRNA from 1 species
GACGAACCGUGCGAACGUUGUUCGGAAUCACUGGGCUUAAAGAGCUCGUAGGUGGUUUGUCGCGUUGUUCGUGAAAACUCACAGCUUAACUGUGGGCGUGCGGGCGAUACGGGCAGACUGGAGUACUGCAGGGGAGACUGGAAUUCCUGGUGUAGCGGUGGAAUGCGCAGAUAUCAGGAGGAACACCGGUGGCGAAGGCGGGUCUCUGGGCAGUAACUGACGCUGAGGAGCGAAAGCGUGGGGAGCGAACAGG